GUGUGCGAUCAUACCAGUGUUAAUACACCGGAUCCCAUUAGAACUCCAUAGUUAAGCGCGUUUGGGCUAGAGUAGUAUUGGGAUGGGUGACCUCUCGGAAAGUCCUAGUGUUGCACCCU
rnacentral:rRNA from 1 species